rnacentral:lncRNA from 1 species
ACUUUCAUAUGCAGCCGGACAUGGUGUAUUUGUGUUUCUGAGGUUAUUGUACAAGACGAAUUGGGUGAGUGAUUUGAAGUUAAAAUUAGCUCAUUUUUGUCAACUUAUUUAUUUACUGGUAUAUUUAGGCUCGAAAUUAAUUUCUUCCCUUUUUUUUGUCUCCCUACAACUUUGUAUAAAACAGGUUCAUAUGACAUUAAUCCUACAAAUAAACCAUUUGGAUUAGAAGUCAUUUCCUUCAUGAAAAUUACCUUUCUUGACAUAGUAAUCAUUACUUUUUAUGAUGUCUGUAAAUCUAGAUUAAAAAUUCUCUAGGCUGGAAAUAAGAUUUAAUUUUAGAGCUAUUUUGUCCUUGAUUAUUGACACAGAAUCUUGUGGUGUUGAGCAAGGCAGAGGCUGUGUGCUGCAAUCUCUGUUGAGGAGGGAAACUCCCAGUGCUCUGCAUAGUGAACUGAUCACAUAGAAGUUUCUUUAGCAUGGGAAUGUGCUUCCAUGUUUCCCUGAAGAGCAAAGUACAGCGGUAGAAUGGCAGAUCCGUCCAGAAGUCAGUCCAAAAAGAUAGAUACCAUCAUGCUGACUGAUUCUUUUUCACAAUGCUGCUGUGAUGCCUCAGACACAAGCCCAAGCAUCUACCAAGCUGCUUCUUCCCUCCAAGUGACAAAAAGAAAAGAAAAGAAAAUGACAGGUACCAUCAGCCCACUUUUUACCCUGAUCUAUGCGGUCCUUAGCAACCAGAGUAUCUACACUGAGGCACGUUGCUGUGGUUGUCAUAACUUUGAAGAAAACAAAUCUUCAAAGAUCUUUUUUAUCUUUUCCAGGAAGAUAUGUCAAUCCUUUGAUGGUAAAAAGCAUUAAAACUCAAAAUUGAGAGGCAAAAUAUAUCAUAUCCCACUAAAAACUCCUUGAGCCAGAUAACUGCCAGCAUGUACAGUUAGAAGGGUAAUAAUAGCUAGUGACUGCUGUGUGGAAUGUGUUAAGACUUCUAAAUAUAUUAUUUCAUUUAAUUCUUGCAACUAUU